rnacentral:lncRNA from 1 species
UUGCUUUGAUAAAAUUGGCAAAUUGAGAUACUUAGGAGGCAUAUAUGAUGAAUGAGAGCUUUGUGAACCAUUGUCAUACUUGCUUUCCACUUCAUCUGGCCACAUCAUUGAGCAUAAGGCCUCAUAGGAGCCUCAAAUCUUAUGAUUGCUCAAGCUACAAAACAAAAGAUGUUAGUGACAUAUUUUUAUGCUUUUGGUUAGUAAUAAAAA